GGGGUCGUGGCUCACUGGCAAAGCGUCUGCUUGUCAUGCAGAAGGUCCCAGGUUCAAUCCCUGGCAUCUCCA